GACGAACGCUGGCGGCGUGCUUAACACAUGCAAGUCGAACGGAAAGGCGCUGCUUUUGUGGGGUUCUCGAGUGGCGAACGGGUGUGUAACACGUGAGUAACCUGCCCUUAUCUUUGGGAUAACUUCAGGAAACUGGGGCGAAUACCGCAGAGGAGCUCCUGCUGCAUGGGGGGGGUUGGAAAGUUUCGGCGGUUGGGGAUGGACUCGCGGCUCAUCAGCUUGUUGGUGUGGUAGGUGCUUACCAGGGAUUUGAAGGGUAGCCGGCCUGAGAGGGUUACCGGCCACAUUGGGACUGAGAUACGGACCAGACUCGUACGGGAGGCAGCAGUGGGGAAUAUUGCACAAUGGGCGGAAGCCUGAUGCAGAAACGCCGCGAGCGGGAUAACGGCCUUCGGGUUGUAAACAGCUUUCGCCUGUGACGAAGCGUGAGUGACGGUAAUGGGUCAAGAAGCAACGGCUAACUACGUG
rnacentral:rRNA from 1 species